UAUUUACAUUAAUUCUUAUGGGGAAAUUGGAUUCGCUUAACAUUGUUUCACUUAAAGUCGCAUUUUUCAGGAACAUAACUACAAUGUUAAGCGAGGAGUUACUGUACAAUCAUUAGCACACAGUGAUGGGAGUUGAGAGCUCUAAAUCAAACUCUAUCCUUUUUUUAUUUGCUGUAACACAUGAGUCUGAGUGUGGAUCCAGGGCCUACACAGGUCUUCCUCUUUUAUAUGCACUCCAACUUCCCAGGGAAGGUCAAUGCCCUUGCCACAUUCCCAACUACAAAUACUUGUUCAGAAAUUACAGGGAGUUUAAAACUACAAUCAAUUAAUUAAAAUAUUUAUUCUACUUUAGGAUAGACAGACACCCUCUGCAGGCACAGCGUUGUGUGUGCACCCAGCACGUUAGGAUUCUCAUACCUUGGGCUGAAAACAGAGGCAGCGCAUUCAGUUUCAGCAAGGAUAAGGGAGCACCUUUCCCCAGAUGGAGGAGCAUACUCCAUUUAAGCACAGCCAUUGUGAGACUAUCCCCUGAAAAUUCACAUGGAGGAUGAGAUAUCCUACAAAUUUCCAGUCAGUAUCUUUUGAAUGAUUCCAUCUGAGUGAGGGUCAUCUCCCUCCCUUCCAGUCACAGAAGCUAAAACCAUCGCUCAAGGGUCCUGUGUGGCAAGGCCAGGGUACAGCCUCCAAUCCUAGUCACUCCCUACAUUCUUGAAUCCUCUCUGUUGCACAGUGAACCCUCCAUGUAAGAAUGCUGAUGAGUUCAGCACUCUUAUUCAUUCUCCCAGGACUGAAGAUGAAGUUAUGCUGGAGAACAUCUGAGCUUCCAACACUAGUUCUGCCUCUCCUCAUCUGCAGAGGCUAAUCUCCACAGAGGCUGCAUGGGGAAUCAGGAAGACAAAUCUGCCCUUUGUACAUUGCAGGCAACAUUUGCUACAUCUGGAUCAUCUGUGUUUGUGGAAAAAUAGGAGACAGCCUAGACUUUUUUAAUAAUGGCCAUCAAGGUGUUACAGCUACUAAGAGUGAGAACUGAAAGACUACAUUUGCUUAAGAUUUAUGAAGAAAUUCCAUUGUUAUGUAUCUAGGAUUUUUGUACAGCCCCAUGUAGCUGUCUACCACACCUGCCCUCUUCUAGUAACUUUGUCUAAGUUUGAAUUUGGUUUCAAACUUCAUAAGGAGCCCAUCUCUCUAUCAUAAGCAGAAUCAGAGAGUAGGUUUGAAUACCCUAGAACAGCAAGUUAGUUAAAUUGGGAACCUAACUUUGAGGCUUGGGUCAGAUUUCUAAUUAUUACCAAUUUUUAUUUUACCCUUCUUUUCCUGUUCUAGUUUAUACAUGAGCUGUAUUUUAUUGUAUUCUUUUCUAUUUUCAGAUUGUGCAAAAUGCCGUUUCCCCUUCAAGCAGUUUUACAUAAGUGUAAAUGUUGUUUCUUCAUUUAAAGUAUUGGCACUAGACUAGAGGAGUACAUUAAGAUUUAUCUUAGACUCCAUCAGUUGGCAUAUAGGUAUGCAUUGUAUAAAAAGUUAAUUAUUUUUAAAGAAGAGCAACAAAAUCCUUGAUCCCAAAGGGAUCACUUAGAGAGAACCCUGUAACAAGGUGCUUACAAAAGACACCUCGAAUUGGAAGCAUCACUGUCUUUUAGUUAUCCAGGAGACCAGUUGACCCUUUUCACUAACACCCAGAUAUUCUAGCCUUAAAAAGGUGCAAUGGACAUUUCAAAUGACUCCAGUCAAUCAAGAGUUUGGUUUUAAAAUGACAGUUUCCUAUAACUAUACAAGAAGGUGUGUGUU